ensembl:piRNA 21ur-5176 ncRNA
UUCAGUUGGUAAAAUUGAAAA